GGGCCCGCACAAGCGGUGGAGUAUGUGGUUUAAUUCGAUGCAACGCGAAGAACCUUACCAGGGUUUGACAUCCUGCGAAUCUCUUGGAAACGAGAGAGUGCCUUCGGGAACGCAGUGACAGGUGCUGCAUGGUUGUCGUCAGCUCGUGCCGUGAGGUGUCAGGUUAAGUCCUAUAACGAGCGCAACCCCUGCCGUUAGUUGCCAGCAUGUAAUGAUGGGAACUCUAACGGGACUGCCGGUGCAAACCGCGAGGAAGGUGGGGAUGACGUCAAAUCAUCACGGCCCUUACGUCCUGGGCUACACACGUACUACAAUGCUACGGACAAAGGGCUGCAAGUUCGCGAGGACAAGCAAAUCCCAUAAACCGUGGCUCAGUUCAGAUCGUAGGCUGCAACUCGCCUACGUGAAGGAGGAAUCGCUAG
rnacentral:rRNA from 1 species